UAAUACGGGGGGAGCAAGCGUUGUUCGGAUUUACUGGGCGUAAAGGGCGCGUAGGCGGUCCUGACAAGUCACUUGUGAAAUCUCCGGGCUUAACUCGGAAAGGUCAAGUGAUACUGUCGGACUAGAGUGCAGAAGGGGCAACUGGAAUUCUCGGUGUAGCGGUGAAAUGCGUAGAUAUCGAGAGGAACACCUGCGGCGAAGGCGGGUUGCUGGGCUGACACUGACG
rnacentral:rRNA from 1 species